GGCAGCAGGCAGAGACAAUCCAUCGCCGCCAACCGGCGAUUGAUUGCUUGGGGCUGAGAGCGAGGGCGGGGGAGAGCCUCCGCUGCGGGGCGGGGACCCGCCGGGCGCGAGCCUGCCGGCGCUGCGCGAGGGGGCGGGGCGGCGGCGGGGGCCCGCGACCGUUAAAGGCGUUGGAAGGCGGCGCGCGCGGGAGCGGCGCCUCAGGGCGGGUGGGGCGCUUGCAGCGGGAGGCGCUGCGCUGCCAGUAAUGUGCUUGUCACCUCGGAGACCAUUAAGAUAAUUUGCUCACAUCUGAGGGUAAGCAGGCCUUCCGUGUCAGAUGGGGACUCCUGCAGCGUGGCCUGUGUGCCCAAAUGUACUUGCUCCAAGUAAGGAGGCUUCCCUCUUUAAUAUGCCGGCACGCCUGUGGCUUUUGUCUCUAAGGAAGGAAGGUGGUUCUGGGGCAAAGCAUGCAUUCUUGCAGUGAAGAGGGAACUGCGUUGUCUGCUACCCGGUGAGAUACUCCUGAGCAGUAGAGGCCUCUCUUUUAUGCCAGCACCAUGAUUGCACAAUAGUGCAUCAGAUUAAAACCAUGUAGCUGAAUAAAGCAUACGAUCCACUCA
rnacentral:lncRNA from 1 species